rnacentral:rRNA from 1 species
GUAGGGAAUCUUCGGCAAUGGGGGCAACCCUGACCGAGCAACGCCGCGUGAGUGAAGAAGGUUUUCGGAUCGUAAAGCUCUGUUGUAAGAGAAGAACGUGUGUGAGAGUGGAAAGUUCACACAGUGACGGUAACUUACCAGAAAGGGACGGCUAACUACGUGCCAA